GUAAUGUCUGGGAAACUGCCUGAUGGAGGGGGAUAACUACUGGAAACGGUGGCUAAUACCGCAUAACGUCGCAAGACCAAAGAGGGGGACCUUCGGGCCUCUUGCCAUCAGAUGUGCCCAGAUGGGAUUAGCUUGUUGGUGAGGUAACGGCUCACCAAGGCGACGAUCCCUAGCUGGUCUGAGAGGAUGACCAGCCACACUGGAACUGAGACACGGUCCAGACUCCUACGGGAGGCAGCAGUGGGGAAUAUUGCACAAUGGGCGCAAGCCUGAUGCAGCCAUGCCGCGUGUAUGAAGAAGGCCUUCGGGUUGUAAAGUACUUUCAGCGGGGAGGAAGGUGUUGUGGUUAAUAACCGCAGCAAUUGACGUUACCCGCAGAAGAAGCACCGGCUAACUCCGUGCCAGCAGCCGCGGUAAUACGGAGGGUGCAAGCGUUAAUCGGAAUUACUGGGCGUAAAGCGCACGCAGGCGGUCUGUCAAGUCGGAUGUGAAAUCCCCGGGCUCAACCUGGGAACUGCAUUCGAAACUGGCAGGCUUGAGUCUUGUAGAGGGGGGUAGAAUUCCAGGUGUAGCGGUGAAAUGCGUAGAGAUCUGGAGGAAUACCGGUGGCGAAGGCGGCCCCCUGGACAAAGACUGACGCUCAGGUGCGAAAGCGUGGGGAGCAAACAGGAUUAGAUACCCUGGUAGUCCACGCCGUAAACGAUGUCUACUUGGAGGUUGUGCCCUUGAGGCGUGGCUUCCGGAGCUAACGCGUUAAGUAGACCGCCUGGGGAGUACGGCCGCAAGGUUAAAACUCAAAUGAAUUGACGGGGGCCCGCACAAGCGGUGGAGCAUGUGGUUUAAUUCGAUGCAACGCGAAGAACCUUACCUGGUCUUGACAUCCACAGAACUUUCCAGAGAUGGACUGGUGCCUUCGGGAACUGUGAGACAGGUGCUGCAUGGCUGUCGUCAGCUCGUGUUGUGAAAUGUUGGGUUAAGUCCCGCAACGAGCGCAACCCUUAUCCUUUGUUGCCAGCGGUCCGGCCGGGAACUCAAAGGAGACUGCCAGUGAUAAACUGGAGGAAGGUGGGGAUGACGUCAAGUCAUCAUGGCCCUUACGACCAGGGCUACACACGUGCUACAAUGGCGCAUACAAAGAGAAGCGACCUCGCGAGAGCAAGCGGACCUCAUAAAGUGCGUCGUAGUCCGGAUUGGAGUCUGCAACUCGACUCCAUGAAGUCGGAAUCGCUAGUAAUCGUGGAUCAGAAUGCCACGGUGAAUACGUUCCCGGGCCUUGUACACACCGCCCGUCACACCAUGGGAGUGGGUUGCAAAAGAAGUAGGUAGCUUAACCUUCGGGAGGGCGCUUACCACUUUGUGAUUCAUGACUGGGGUGAAGUCGUAACAAGGUAACCGUAGGGGAACCUGCGGUUGGAUCACCUCCUU
rnacentral:rRNA from 1 species